GCGGCCAUGUAAGAUGCGAGUUUGCUCCUCCUUAGCUUGUCGCCAUGAUCCUGAGCCCUCCCCAGCCAUGUGGAACUGUCUCGCCGCCUCCUUGUAGUUUCACAAGAGAUCACCUUCCUGUCUACCCUGAGACAACUGUGGAGGUCUGCUUGACCCACAUCUAAAAGAAACUCAUCAUUUUGAUGUGUCGGGGAUAUACGGUGUGGUGGGCCUCAGUGUCUAGCUGCCCCUGGACAUCAAGACAAAAAACAGAACAAAAGCUUUACCAAGUCAACAUCUAAUUUACAAAAUUUGUCUACAUUCUGCCUAGUUUCAUUUUGUUGCAUUAUUAUUUAAAAAUGUUAAAAUGUAUUUCCUGUAUUUUCCAAUUACUCUCAAUAUAAUUUUAAAAUCUGAUGUUAUAGUUAAAUUUGCACUGACUUAUUUCCUUUCUCCUGAGAAAAUUUGGUAAGAGUCUAUUAUGCAUAGCCCUGAGUUUCACACAUUUGAAACUGGGGAAUGAGGCUGCUAGGACAAUGGUGUUAUUUAUUAUGGUGCAUUACCAAUUGCACUGCACCUGUCU
rnacentral:lncRNA from 1 species